rnacentral:rRNA from 1 species
GUGUGGAAUCUUGCGCAAUGGGCGAAAGCCUGACGCAGCCAUGCCGCGUGAAUGAUGAAGGUCUUAGGAUUGUAAAAUUCUUUCACCGGGGACGAUAAUGACGGUACCCGGAGAAGAAGCUCCGGCUAACUUCGUGCCAGCAGCCGCGGUAAUACGAAGGGGGCUAGCGUUGCUCGGAAUUACUGGGCGUAAAGGGCGCGUAGGCGGACAGCUUAGUCAGAGGUGAAAGCCCAGGGCUCAACCUUGGAAUUGCCUUUGAUACUGGCUGUCUUGAGUUUGGGAGAGGUGAGUGGAACUCCGAGUGUAGAGGUGAAAUUCGUAGAUAUUCGGAAGAACACCAGUGGCGAAGGCGACUCACUGGCCCAAUACUGACGCUGAGGCGCGAAAGCGUGGGGAGCAAACAGGAUUAGAAACCCGGGUAGUCC